rfam:Ficedula albicollis isolate OC2 chromosome 1A, whole genome shotgun sequence.
AUAUAGGUUUUAUUGAAAACCACCAGAUCUUUUGACAAGAUUCUUGU